GCGUCCAUUGUCUAAUGGAUAGGACAGAAGUCUUCUAAACUUUUGGUAUAGGUUCAAAUCCUAUUGGACGCA
rnacentral:tRNA from 6 species